CCUACGGGAGGCAGCAGUGGGGAAUUUUGGACAAUGGGCGCAAGCCUGAUCCAGCAAUGCCGCGUGCAGGAAGAAGGCCUUCGGGUUGUAAACUGCUUUUGUACGGAGCGAAACGGUUCGGGUUAAUACCCUGGGCUAAUGACGGUACCGUAAGAAUAAGCACCGGCUAACUACGUGCCAGCAGCCGCGGUAAUACGUAGGGUGCAAGCGUUAAUCGGAAUUACUGGGCGUAAAGCGUGCGCAGGCGGUUUUGUAAGACAGGCGUGAAAUCCCCGGGCUCAACCUGGGAAUGGCGCUUGUGACUGCAAAGCUGGAGUGCGGCAGAGGGGGAUGGAAUUCCGCGUGUAGCAGUGAAAUGCGUAGAUAUGCGGAGGAACACCGAUGGCGAAGGCAAUCCCCUGGGCCUGCACUGACGCUCAUGCACGAAAGCGUGGGGAGCAAACAGGAUUAGAUACCCUGGUAGUCCACGCCCUAAACGAUGUCAACUGGUUGUUGGGUCUCUUCUGACUCAGUAACGAAGCUAACGCGUGAAGUUGACCGCCUGGGGAGUACGGCCGCAAGGUUGAAACUCAAAUGAAUUGACGG
rnacentral:rRNA from 1 species